AUUGAACGCUGGCGGCAGGCCUAACACAUGCAAGUCGAGCGAGCGGCGGACGGGUGAGUAAUGUCUGGGAAACUGCCUGAUGGAGGGGGAUAACUACUGGAAACGGUAGCUAAUACCGCAUACCAUCAGAUGUGCGCAGAUGGGGUUAGCUUGUAGGUGGGGUAACGGCUCACUUAGGCGACGAUCCCUAGCUGGUCUGCGAGAAUGACCAGCCACACUGGAACUGAUGCACGGUCCAAACUUCUACGAGAGCAAGGAGUGGGGAAUAUUGCACAAUGGGCGCAAGUCUGAUGCAGACAUGCCGCGUGUGUGAAGAAGGCCUUCGGGGUGCAAAGGACUUUCAGCGGGGAGGCGUUACCCGCAGAAGAAGCACCGGCUAACUCCGUGCCAGCAGCCGCGGUAAUAC
rnacentral:rRNA from 1 species